rnacentral:rRNA from 1 species
UACGUAGGGGGCGAGCGUUACCCGGAUUUACUGGGCGUAAAGCGCGUGUAGGCGGCUGGUCAAGCGUGGUGUGAAAUCUCCGGGCUCAACCCGGAAACUGCAUUGCGAACUGACCUAGCUGGAGUGCAGGAGAGGGCAGCGGAAUUCCCGGUGUAGCGGUGAAAUGCGUAGAUAUGCGGAGGAACACCGAGGGCGAAGGCAAUCCCCUGGACCUGUACUGACGCUCAUGCACGAAAGCGUGGGGAGCAAACAGG